rnacentral:rRNA from 1 species
UGGGUCCUACGGGGGGCAGCAGUGGGGAAUAUUGGGCAAUGGGCGCAAGCCUGACCCAGCGACGCCGCGUGAGGGAAGACGGUCUUCGGAUUGUAAACCUCUUUCAGCAGGGAAGACAAAAGGACGGUACCUGCAGAAGAAGCCACGGCUAACUACGUGCCAGCAGCCGCGGUAAUACGUAGGUGGCAAGCGUUAUCCGGAAUUACUGGGGGUAAAGGGUGUGUAGGCGGGGCUGCAAAGCGGAUGUGGAAAUUAUGGGCUCAACCCAUAACCUGCGGCUGAAACGGUA